rnacentral:rRNA from 1 species
CCUACGGGUGGCAGCAGUGAGGAAUAUUGGUCAAUGGACGAGAGUCUGAACCAGCCAAGUAGCGUGAAGGAUGACUGCCCUAUGGGUUGUAAACUUCUUUUAUAUGGGAAUAAAACGUUCCACGUGUGGGAUUUUGUAUGUACCAUAUGAAUAAGGAUCGGCUAACUCCGUUCCAGCAGCCGCGGUAAUACGGAGGAUCCGAGCGUUAUCCGGAUUUAUUGGGUUUAAAGGGAGCGUAGGUGGAUUGUUAAGUCAGUUGUGAAAGUUUGCGGCUCAACCGUAAAAUUGCAGUUGAAACUGGCAGUCUUGAGUACAGUAGAGGUGGGCGGAAUUCGUGGUGUAGCGGUGAAAUGCUUAGAUAUCACGAAGAACUCCGAUUGCGAAGGCAGUUCACUGGACUGCAACUGACACUGAGGCUCGAAAGUGUGGGUAUCAAACAGGAUUAGAUACCCCUGUAGUC